UGGGGAAUAUUGGGCAAUGGGGGAAACCCUGACCCAACAACGCCGCGUGAGUGACGAAGGUCUUCGGAUUGUAAAGCUCUGUCUUCAGGGACGAAAAAAAUGACGGUACCUGGAGAGGAAGCCCCGGCUAACUACGUGCCAGCAGCCGCGGUAAUACGUAGGUGGCGAGCGUUGUCCGGAAUUACUGGGCGUAAAGGGCGCGGAGGCGGCCUAUUAAGUCAGAUGUGAAACCCCCGGGCUCAACCUGGG
rnacentral:rRNA from 1 species